UGGGGAAUUUUGGACAAUGGGCGCAAGCCUGAUCCAGCCAUGCCGCGUGUCUGAAGAAGGCCUUCGGGUUGUAAAGGACUUUUGUCAGGGAAGAAAAGGAUAGGGUUAAUACCCCUGUCUGAUGACGGUACCUGAAGAAUAAGCACCGGCUAACUACGUGCCAGCAGCCGCGGUAAUACGUAGGGUGCGAGCGUUAAUCGGAAUUACUGGGCGUAAAGCGGGCGCAGACGGUUACUUAAGCAGGAUGUGAAAUCCCCGGGCUCAACCUGGGAACUGCGUUCUGAACUGGGUGACUAGAGUGUGUCAGAGGGAGGUAGAAUUCCACGUGUAGCAGUGAAAUGCGUAGAGAUGUGGAGGAAUACCGAUGGCGAAGGCAGCCUCCUGGGAUAACACUGACGUUCAUGCCCGAAAGCGUGGGUAGCAAACAGGAUUAGAUACCCUGGUAGUCCACGCCCUAAACGAUGUCGAUUAGCUGUUGGGCAGCUUGACUGCUUAGUAGCGAAGCUAACGCGUGAAAUCGACCGCCUGGGGAGUACGGUCGCAAGGUUG
rnacentral:rRNA from 1 species